AUUUCUCCGACUGAUCUAUCAACUCGUUGAAAUCUCUCAUUAAGAUCCAUGCCCCUUUCCUGGUUGCUCCUAUUCGAGAGAUUCUUUCCCAUACCUCCCCUCUCUUACUCUUCACUGGAUCUCCAUAAACACAUGUAAGGUAGAACGUAUGGUUCUGCCAUUCUACCUUUAGAUCGAUCACCCUGUUAUUGGCUUGAAGGGUUUCCACUCUACACGCCUCCUUCCACAUAACAGCAAGUCCUCCACUCUUCCCCCUGGCGUCUAUAGAAACUAUAUCAUGAAAGCCC
rnacentral:lncRNA from 1 species